UACGAAGGGGGCUAGCGUUGCUCGGAAUCACUGGGCGUAAAGGGUGCGCAGGCGGUUGGGUGUGUCAGAUGUGAAAUCCCGAGGCUUAACCUCGGAACUGCGUCUGAAACUACUCGACUAGAGUACUGGAGAGGGUAACGGAAUUCACGGUGUAGCAGUGAAAUGCGUAGAUAUCGUGAGGAACACCAGAGGCGAAGGCGGUUACCUGGAGCUUUGCUGACGCUGAGGCGCGAAAGCGUGGGGAGCGAUCCGG
rnacentral:rRNA from 1 species